rnacentral:tRNA from 1 species
CAGGGAAUAAUUUAAUGAGAAUUUCAGCUUUGGGGGUUGAUAGUGGAGUUGUUUGCUUCUUCCCUGA